GGGCCCGCACAAGCGGUGGAGCAUGUGGUUCAAUUCGAAGCAACGCGCAGAACCUUACCAGCCUUUGACAUGCCGGUCGCGGGUACCAGAGAUGGAACCCUUCAGUUCGGCUGGACCGGACACAGGUGCUGCAUGGCUGUCGUCAGCUCGUGUCGUGAGAUGUUGGGUUAAGUCCCGCAACGAGCGCAACCCUCGCCCUUAGUUGCCAUCAUUCAGUUGGGCACUCUAAGGGGACUGCCGGUGAUAAGCCGCGAGGAAGGUGGGGAUGACGUCAAGUCCUCAUGGCCCUUACAGGCUGGGCUACACACGUGCUACAAUGGCGGUGACAGUGGGACGCAAUGGAGCAAUCCUGCGCAAAUCUCAAAAAGCCGUCUCAGUUCGGAUUGGGCUCUGCAACUCGAGCCCAUGAAGUUGGAAUCGCUAGUAAUCGCAGAUCAGCACGCUGCGGUGAAUACGUUCCCGGGCCUU
rnacentral:rRNA from 1 species